CGUGGGUCAUUCAUUGGCUUCUUGUAGUUUGAACCUCGGAACAGACUGGCUCUAGCACAUGUGCCUCACCCUGUGUGCCCUGCUCCUCUCGUUCAAGGUUACUGGAAGCUCAGUCUGCCCCAACAUUUCCCUAUUUACUGGAGACCUCAAAAACUUGUCAUUGACCUUCCCAUGACCUGGAUAAAAAUCUCUCAACCUGUCCCUGCCUGUCAUGUAGGCAAACUGAAGGGAAAAUGGCAUGGAUAGUGGUUUGGAAACAGCAGAGGAAAUGGGUCACUUGUGUUAUUAGUAGGGGAGUUAAAGACAUGCAAGAACGGAAAGAAAAACAAGACAAGAAAUAAAGGACAUUAAGGAGGGUAUGCAGCAUGAUGGUCCCAGCCAGUGGGGAGCUGUAAGACAGAUGUUCAAGAUGAGCCUCUGGGGCUGAUCAUGUCUCUGGUUAUAGAGAAGGAGAGAUUCUAUAUGUUGCCUGGCAGCCACUGAUUGGUCAGAGACAAAGAGGAAUGCUUACGAUGGAGAUGCCCUGGCAGUUGUGAUUUUGCUGAAGUCCAUUAUUAACAUGAAGUCCAUUUCUUUAUCAUUUUCCAGCUGAUCUUGAAGGUGAUGAUAGGUCAUAAGCCGCAGCCUCUGCAAGGAUGUUACAACCCCUGGAGCAGUCGGAAAGUACAUAUGUGUUUGGAAUGCAACAAAAGGGGAAAGUUACUAGUGUGUUUUGGACGGGACCCUGUAUUUUUAACCCUUUAUCCAAACCUAGGGGAAACACAACCCAGCUACUCAAAACCCAGUUUUCUCCUAAAAUGACAUAGUUAAGUAGUCGUCGGAAUCAUUUUUUCUUCAGACAGUUUGGCUUAGUGUCUAAGAGCAUUGAUAGCAGACAGCUGGUUCAAGUCCUAACUCCUUCCCUUGCUAAAUAUGUGACUCUGAGGAAGUUGAAAAGCUCUCCCAUCUCGUGUUCUUCCUCUGUAAAACAACAAACAUCUCACAAGGUUGUCACCAAGAAUAUUCCUGAAUUACUGGGCUUUUCCUCCCUGAUCUAUUAUGGAGGACAUUAGCAAGAAGUGUACCAGGUAAGCGCCCAAUAAAUGGCAUAAUUAUUAUCACAAAAAAUGUUUUAGAAAGUACUGGGUUCCAGCUCUACAUGGUUUUAGGAGUGUUGACAGAGAGUAUAGGGUUCAGGGUCAUGGAAGAGUUAGGACUACAGGCAGAGUAGCUUUUCCAUGAUGUUUGCAUGCGUUAUCUCAUUCUGAGAGAGAAAAUUUGGGUAGUCACUCCCAUUUCAUAGAGGAGGCUCUUGCACAUUGCUAGAAUUGGCAAAGCCACGAGUAGGUCCCAGGGCUCCAGAGUCCUUGCUAGAGCUCCAUCUGUACAUUAUGGCACCUCUGUUAAGUGUUUCUCCAUACAUGGUGAACUUAAGCUAGCUCGAUGCAGAAAAAGACUGUAUUCUACUCUUGUAACAAAUACAGAAUCUUUGCCAAUUACAAGGUGAGCUGUAAUCAAUCAGGCUAUAUGUCUGCCUCAUGUCCGUUUCUUGUGAUUUUCUUGGUCCAUAUGGUGGGGCACAGAGCAUUCUGAA